rnacentral:rRNA from 1 species
AGGAUGAACGCUGGCGGCGUGCCUAAAACAUGCAAGUCAUACGGGCUACCUUCGGGUAGCCAGUGGCAAACGGGUGAGUAACACGUGGGAACGCGCCUUGGGGUGGGGAAUAACGCUGAGAAAUCAGUGCUAAUACCGCAUAUGGUCUAACGACUAAAGCAGCAAUGCGCCCCGAGAGCGGCCCGCGACCGAUUAGCUAGUUGGUGGGGUAAUGGCCUACCAAGGCGGUGAUCGGUAGCUGGUCUGAGAGGAUGGUCAGCCACACUGGGACUGCGAACGGCCCAGACUCCUACGGGAGGCAGCAGUUAGGAAUUUUCGGCAAUGGACGAAAGUCUGACCGAGCGACGCCGCGUGGAGGAUGACGCCUUUCGGGGUGUAAACUCCUUUUCUGCGGGAAGAUAAUGACGGUACCGCAGGAAUAAGCACCGGCUAACUACGUGCCGAGCAGCCGC